UGGCUACAAAGUGUACUGAAGCUGCACGAC
rnacentral:piRNA from 1 species